rnacentral:tRNA from 1 species
AGUAAAGAAGUAAAAUAUACAAUUAAUUUCGACUUAAUUUAAGAGAUUAAAAUCUCCUAUACUU